CCGAUGGCGGACCGGCGCACGGGUGAGUAACACGUAUCCAACCUGCCGAUAACUCGGGGAUAGCCUUUCGAAAGAAAGAUUAAUAUCCGAUAGGAUAUCAAGGUCGCAUGAUCUUGAUAUUAAAGAAUUUCGGUUAUCGAUGGGGAUGCGUUCCAUUAGUUAGUUGGCGGGGUAACGGGCCCACCAAGACGACGAUGGAUAGGGGUUCUGAGAGGAAGGUCCCCCACCAUUGGAACUGAGACACGGUCCAAACUCCUACGGGAGGCAGCAG
rnacentral:rRNA from 1 species